CCAUGUCUCGGCUAUAAAGAAACUGCUCAUAUCAUGCGUUGCAAUGUCUCCAUAACAUUCAAUUCAUAAUCCAAACUCAUCUCCAACAAAUUUACAUUCACGGUGAAAUUGAAUUGCAGUUGAGAGAGAGAGAGAGAGAGAGAGAGGAACAAUGCUUACUAUCGAUUUGGCCUCUGACUCUAGCGAGCAGAGCUACGAUAGAGCAAACGAUGACUCGAAAGCCGGCAUCAAAGGCCUCGGUCGACGCCGGGAUCACCAAAAUCCCUAGAAUUUCUUCAUCCGACCACGGGAGACAUCCGAAGACAGCUCCGAAUCAAGUGGCGGCUCCGAGAAUCUCAACGUCCCAAUCAUUGACCUCAGUGAAAUUGACCGUGACCCGACCAAGAGGAAGGAGGCGAUCGAGAGGAUGUGACGCGCGUCGAGACGCCUGGGGUUCUUCCGGGUGGUGAAUCCCGGAGUUCCGGCAGCCGUGACGGAGAUGAAGGAGGGAUUGAGGAGGUUCCACGAGCAAGAUGACGAGGCAAAGAAGGUCUUCCACAUGCGCAACAUGACGAGGAAGGUUAUGUACAACAGCAAUUUCGACCUGAACACGACGUCGGUUGCAACGGAAGCAGUAA